GUGCCAGCAGCCGCGGUAAUACGUAGGGGGCGAGCGUUGUCCGGAGUUACUGGGCGUAAAGGGCAUGCAGGCGGUGCGCUGCGUUUGCCAUGACAGCUCCUCGCUUCACGAGGAGAGAGUGGCAAAAACGAGCGCACUUGAGGGACACAGAGGGACACAGAAUUCCGGGUGGAGUGGUGAAAUGCGUAGAGAUCCGGAGGAAUACCAAAGGCGAAGGCAGUGUCCUGGGUGUUACCUGACGCUGAGGUGCGAAAGCCAGGGGAGCGAACGGGAUUAGAUACCCCGGUAGUCCUGGCCGUAAACGAUGACCACCAGGUGUGGGAGGUAUCGACCCCUUCCGUGCCGUCGUUCACGCACUAAGUGGUCCGCCUGGGGAGUACGGUCGCAAGAUUAAA
rnacentral:rRNA from 1 species